rnacentral:misc_RNA from 1 species
UGUGAUUAUCUUCUUAAGCCAAUAAGAAUGAAAGAACUUCGGAAUAUAUGGCAGCAUGUAUUCAGAAGGAAGACACGAGAUAAGAGGCAUUGAAAUUCUUGAAGGAAUGGGAAGUAUAAGUGAGUCGAAAUGGAUCAGAUCAGUCUAACUUCAGUCAAGAAAAGAAAAGACGUUGAAAAUAAACAUGAUUUCGAAGACCCUGGUGACAAUUCUGCUACAAAGGAAGCCAGAGUAGUUUGGUCAGUAG